GAUGAACGCUGGCGGCGUGCCUAAUACAUGCAAGUCGAGCGAACAGAUAAGGAGCUUGCUCCUUUGACGUUAGCGGCGGACGGGUGAGUAACACGUUGGUAACCUACCUAUAAGACUGGGAUAACUUCGGGAAACCGGAGCUAAUACCGGAUAACAUUUGGAACCGCAUGGUUCUAAAGUGAAAGAUGGUUUUGCUAUCACUUAUAGAUGGACCCGCGCCGUAUUAGCUAGUUGGUAAGGUAACGGCUUACCAAGGCAACGAUACGUAGCCGACCUGAGAGGGUGAUCGGCCACACUGGAACUGAGACACGGUCCAGACUCCUAAGGGAGGCAGCAGUAGGGAAUCUUACGCAAUGGGCGAAAGCCUGACGGAGCAACGCCGCGUGAGUGAUGAAGGGUUUCGGCUCGUAAAACUCUGUUAUUAGGGAAGAACAAAUGUGUAAGUAACUGUGCACGUCUUGACGGUACCUAAUCAGAAAGCCACGGCUAACUACGUG
rnacentral:rRNA from 1 species